UACGGAGGGAGCUAGCGUUGUUCGGAAUUACUGGGCGUAAAGCGCACGUAGGCGGCCAUUCAAGUCAGAGGUGAAAGCCCAGGGCUCAACCCUGGAACUGCCUUUGAAACUAGAUGGCUAGAAUCCUGGAGAGGCGAGUGGAAUUCCGAGUGUAGAGGUGAAAUUCGUAGAUAUUCGGAAGAACACCAGUGGCGAAGGCGACUCGCUGGACAGGUAUUGACGCUGAGGUGCGAAAGCGUGGGGAGCAAACAGG
rnacentral:rRNA from 2 species